UGAGGAAUAUUGGUCAAUGGCCGGAAGGCUGAACCAGCCAAGUCGCGUGAGGGAAUAAGGCCCUACGGUCGUAACCUCUUUUGUCGGGGAUGCAAGUGGGUGGGCGUUGCGAGUCAUCAGGGAGAGUACCCGACGAAAAGCAAAGAUCGGGCUAACUCCGUGCCAGCAGCCGCGGUAAUACGGAGGAUGCGAGCGUUAUCCGGAUUUAUUGGUUAAGGUGCGCAGGCGGUACGGAAAGUCAGCGGUAAAAUUACGGAGCUCAACUCCGCCGAGCCGUUGAAACUUCCGCACUAGAGUGAGCGAGAAGUAAGCGGAAUGCGUGGUGUAGCGGUGAAAUGCAUAGAUAUCACGCAGAACGCCGAUUGCGAAGGCAGCUUACCGGCGCUCAACUGACGCUCAGGCACGAAAGUGCGGGUAUCGAACAGGAUUAGAUACC
rnacentral:rRNA from 1 species